rnacentral:lncRNA from 1 species
AUGCAGUUUGUGUUUAACCAGAGAAGGAGAGAGCUAAAGGAGUCCUGUCAUACUAUAACAGGGCCAGCUAAUUUUGAUUCAGUCUUUAUACAAGGGAUUUAUUACACUCCCAUUUUCUUAACAUUGAACAUAAAAUGUAACCAACAUCAAAUAAGUUGUCAGGUACUCAGAGUAAGGAGGGCAGCUCUUAUUCAAACAAGCACUCACGUUUUUAUUUUUCAUCGCAGGAAUGUGCUGGCUGCAAGCACACAGGGAGUGAUGAGUCCAAACGCACCCGGCGAGGCGCCCUCCAGCCAGCUGCCCUGUCCUCCCCGGCCGCUCUAUCCUUCCCCAUCCUGCUCCAUCUUCUUCCAUCCUUCCCUGUCCUGCUCCCUCCUCCUCGUUCUGCCUGGUUCUCCCCGGCCAGCCAACACCCCCACCAAUCCUUCCCUUUCUUCUCCCGUCCUCCUGGGCUACCCAGUCCAACCACCCCAUCUUCUUCCAUCCUCCCCAACCUCCCCUAUCCUGCUGCCUCCUCUCCAGUCCCACCACCCUGUCCUGCUCCGUCCUCCCCGUCCUUCCUCAUCCUCCCCCACCCUGCCCUGUCCUGCCCUGGUCCCACCACCCCGUCCUGCUCCGUCCUCCCCGUCCUUCCUCAUCCUCAUCCUCCCCCACCCUGCCCUGUCCUGCCCUGAUACCACCACCCCGUCCUGCUCCGUCCUCCCCGUCCUUCCUCAUCUCCCCCCAUCUUCCCCCACCCUGCCCUGUCCUGCCCGGUCCCACCACCCCGUCCUGCUCCGUCCUCCCCCAUCCCCCCCAUCUUCCCCCACCCUGCCCUGUCCUGCCCCGGUCCAACCACCCCGUCUUCUCCCGUCCUCCCCAUCCUUCCCUAUCCUGCCUCGUCCUCCCCGGUCCCACCACCCCGUCCUGCUCCGCCCCGAGCGCCCGUCCCCGCAGACCGCACAGCUCAGGCAGACCCCAGAACGGAACUCCGGAGGUUCCCGGGUUUUUAAAAAAAACCAACCGCACUCGCACGGACUCGAGAACGCUGACCACUCAGCAGGUGACAGCAGCCAGCUCCGCGGCGCCGCCGGGUGA